UACGUAGGGUGCAAGCGUUAAUCGGAAUUACUGGGCGUAAAGCGUGCGCAGGCGGUUGUGCAAGACCGAUGUGAAAUCCCCGGGCUUAACCUGGGAACUGCAUUGGUGACUGCACGGCUAGAGUGUGUCAGAGGGGGGUAGAAUUCCACGUGUAGCAGUGAAAUGCGUAGAUAUGUGGAGGAACACCGAUGGCGAAGGCAGCCCCCUGGGUUAACACUGACGCUCAGGCACGAAAGCGUGGGGAGCAAACAGG
rnacentral:rRNA from 1 species